GACAAAAAAAAUGGCACCAGGAUGAAGGAGGAAGAACCUCGUCGUCUCUACUGCCCGAGUUCAGACGCGUGACAGUCGAGGAUUUCAGAGCGUUUUCAAAGACGCCGUCAUUCAGACCCAACAGGAAGUAAAUCGGGUCACCAAACGUCCACCUUCAUCCUCACAAUGUCUCAAAAACACAGACAGUUUGGAUUAUUUAAUAUUUUAUGGACUUAACGAAUAAGAGGUUAAAAUAAUUGUUAUUGAAGCAGAGCUCAAAUUAAUGCUUUGAAAAGGCCGUUUUUGAAACUGCAUUAAAUAGACUUUAAAAGGUUUCAAACAUGGUGCAAACUGAAUUUAAGUGGAUUAAAAGGUAUUCAGGGAUAGACAGAGAGCUCAAGCAGCUUUUGACAAGGUUUAAAAACAGUUCAAAUGACAUUUGAGCGAUUUAAUUUAAACUGCUGUGUAAUCCACCAGAAAGCGCAUCGAAAGAGGAAUUUAGCAAAAUGUGAGAAACGCAACUCUUAUUUUUGGACUUUGACUACAAAUGCCCAGUGGCAGAUUUCAGCUAAGAAGUUGUGCAACUUUACUUUUGACAUACCGAAUAUGAAUGCAGAGUGUGUUUCUUUUGCAGUCAAAACAUUAUUACGACUUCUGCUGUCGCCAUGUUUCAAGUCGCUAGAAACUCUGAAGGUCUGCAGUGCCCUCUAGUGGAUGUUUUGUUUAACAUCCCUGCCAAUGAAAACGACACAUGAAAGUAUAUUUACAAGUUACGAACAACUGAGGACCAAUCAACAAGGUUGGUGUGAAAACACUAAUAACUUUAAUGAACUAGUACAAAAGCAAUUACAUUAUUUAUAACUUGUAUAAUUUUAUAUUUAAGUUAUUUA